CUAAGCUUGACAUCCUUUUGACCGAUGCCUAAUCGCAUCUUUCCCUUCGGGGACAGAAGUGACAGGUGGUGCAUGGUUGUCGUCAGCUCGUGUCGUGAGAUGUUGGGUUAAGUCCCGCAACGAGCGCAACCCUUGCCUUUAGUUGCCAGCAUUAAGUUGGGCACUCUAGAGGGACUGCCAGGGAUAACCUGGAGGAAGGUGGGGAUGACGUCAAAUCAUCAUGCCCCUUAUGCUUAGGGCUACACACGUGCUACAAUGGGUGGUACAGAGGGCAGCCAAGUCGUGAGGCCGAGCUAAUCCCUUAAAGCCAUUCUCAGUUCGGAUUGUAGGCUGAAACUCGCCUACAUGAAGCUGGAGUUACUAGUAAUCGCAGAUCAGAAUGCUGCGGUGAAUGCGUUCCC
rnacentral:rRNA from 1 species